GAAGUAGACCAGGCAGUCGCUGUUCCGGCCUUCGGGUCGGAAGAGAGGAAAGUCCGGGCUCCACAGGGCAGGAUACUCCGUAACGCGGAGUGGGGGCGACCCUAAGGAAAGUGCCACAGAAAAGACACAGCCCACCCGGAGAAGUCCGCUUCCCCGGCGGCAAAGGUGAAAAGGUGGGGUAAGAGCCCACCAGUACUCCCGGUGACGGGAGUAGCUUGGUA
rnacentral:RNase_P_RNA from 1 species